rnacentral:rRNA from 1 species
UACGUAGGGGGCAAGCGUUGUCCGGAUUCAUUGGGCGUAAAGAGCGUGUAGGCGGCCAGGUAGGUCGGUUGUGAAAACUGGAGGCUCAACCUUCAGAGGUCGACCGAAACCAUCUGGCUAGAGUCCGGGAGAGGAGAGUGGAAUUCCUGGUGUAGCGGUGGAAUGCGUAGAGAGUCCGGAGGAAGACCGGUGGCGAAGGCGGCCUGCUGGGCAGUUACUGACACUGAGGCGCGACAGCGUGGGGAGCAAACAGG